ACCAGAGUGGUAGAGGAACUGAGGCUACGCCUUGGCGCCAUUUUCAAAUUGUGUCGUGUCAGAGACUGAUAACCAGGAUUGAAAAACACAUACAAUAAUUUUCUUAAAUAUGUGUUCUAAUACAUCCAGACGAAAAAUAUUUCUCAUAAAUUCUUACUUUUUGGCGUGAUUUUGGAUGCAUGGUCCUUUAACCCAAAGCUUCCCAGCAGCCUCACUCAGCUGCAACAGAGCAGGAGCAGCACACCACUGGACGUCUGCUUUCUGAAGUGGAGAAGGAAGGAAUGGGGCCAGGGGGACUGACAGGAGGUGGUAGGGUUGGGCCCGGGAAAAGGGGGGUUAGGGACGAAGUAUUAGGCUUGCCCCCCCAAAUCAGAAAAGGAAACCCUAAGCUUUGCUGGACGGUCUCUCUGCUACUCCAUCUGGACUGGGAAGCCCUAUUGUUUUGUUAAGUUCAUUUAAAUUUUUUAUUAUUUCCAUUGGUUAAUAUUAUUAUUUAUUUAUUCAAGCUUUUAGCAAAAUAAUGGUACAUAUUUAUCUAUUGAUUUAUAAAUUAUGAUGACUUGUUCUUCGCUCAGCAAAGAUAGGUUGGUUAUUAUUAGAGCUUAUUGUUAGUUAUUUUGAGUAGUGUAUGUAGUAUGCUGUUAAAACGUGAUGAAUUAAGAGAAAGGGGUACAUUAAGCAUAAUAUCGAGACUGGCUUUUUGAAAUGAAAAUUAAGUUAAGGAAAAUGUUUUAUUUUACUGUUCUGACAAAGUGCAUGACAGAUUGGUUGGACCCUGCUGGUUUUGUGCUAAGAGUAAUUGGCUGUUUUCCUCUUCUAUUCCUGUUUUAUCUUUUGCUGAUAAUGUGAAAAAGGACCAGAGGUAAGUGACGAUCUUUAUUUCCUUCCUGUUUCCCCAUAUGUUAGCUCAAAGAGCUACAGGGCCAGAUUAUGGGAGAAGGCCAGUCAGUGGUAAUUUUUAAUCUAAUCCAUCUUUUUCCCCUCUUCAUUAUAAUUUUUUUCUUGUGGUUACAGGCAUCUAGUUAACACAUAUACUACAACAGUGCUAACUUGAUAACUACAGUAGAAAACCAAGCAUAAAAACGAACUCUGUCAUUUUCAGCCUUGCACUGUAGCUUUAAAAAAUUCAUGGUUGGGCCUGUUCUUUUGUAGAUAACUAAUAAAUGGGUUUUUACA